CCCAUAAGAAAAAGUUAAAAAAUAUAAGUAACCAAACCUUAAAUGAAAACGUUCAAUUCAAAAUUAAAUGCAAAGAUCAACAAUAGUCAGGCAGAGAACAGCAAGCAAGUCAAACAAGCAAUCCAACUAAAUAAGGAUGCCUCCAAAUAUUUCUAGUCAUGUGAUAGCAACAUACAAAUGAUUUUUGCAAACCUUUCAAUGAAGUUGUGCAAUAGAAUUUAUGAUGUCAGAAAUGCUGCUUGUUACAUAAAUAAGUAAGGAGAAUAAGAGCCUUCCAAUUCUGCAGAGAGAGUAAGAAUUUAGAAGAGGACAUUACAACUCAGCCUGCAUCGUUCAGCAGUUCAUAUUUCAGAUUUACAAACUGAGAUGUAGAUGCUCUAAAUAGUGAAGUAACAUUAGCAUAUGAAUGGAAAUGGAAAGUACACUUUUAUAGUACAUUGUACAAAUGCAAAGGCCAUCCAGGAGUAGAAUGAUGUGCUAUAUAAUACAAUAGGUCAAAAUAAUUUGCUGCCUCCCUUCUUGCAGCACAGUUUAAAGAGAGAUGCUUCCUUCUUCAGAUGGACUCAGAGUCAAAUAUGUGCCUUUCACCAUUUCUUUUUAUUCAAAAAAUCCUGCUCAAGGCAGAAGAAGACAAGGCUAAUGUAAUCUCUAAGACCUCCCUCUGCUAAAGAAUCUUAUUCUUCUAUCAUGGCCAUUAAAGUCCUUAAUAUGGACAACAGCAUCGAAGGUACACAUUCCAAACUCAAAGCUCUGAAUCUGUAAGCCUAGAGGAUAGCAUUUCCAUGAUUAGCUCUACACAAGUCCUUAAUAUGGACAACAGCAGCAUCCCAGGUACACAUUCCAAACUGAAAGCUCUAAAUCUGUAAGCCUAGAGGGUAGCAUUUUAGCAAAAAAACAUGUCGGUGAAACUACUUAUACUUGCAGUCCAAUCAUACAGUACAUAAUUUUUACAUAUAACAGUAUUUGGGUAGUGAUGAUUGGUUCAUUUGUUUUGCGCAACUUUAGCAUAACCAAGGCUUUCAACAUUCAUAAUAUAUCUUUUAAUCAACAGUGCACUCCUCAUACUCAGUGUAUCAUGAUUUGACAGAACAACUGCACUGCAAUAUAAGUAAUAGGCCUAUUUUCACAUCUUCUUGUCUAUGUCUAGUUUUUAUCCAUUAUAAACUACUUGACUUUCCUGCAAACACCUGCCACUACUGUAGGAAUACAUUUAUUUCUGUUAACUCACGGCAAAUUAUGCAGCUUCCUUUGUAUACUCAAUCCAUUUGCUUCAAUGCCUGAUCAAAACCAUGGAAAUAACUAUCUCUCGUUUUUUCCUUUUUCAUAUAUUAAUCUGUUUACAUUAGUUUUUUUUUUACCUUGAAGUUACUGAUACUCAAAAUUAUUAUGGCUCUUUUUCUUAUUUUCAUCCUAACUUUGACUGCUGAGUUUAUUUCUCUAAAAAUCAUUUAGGGGUAUUCAGAAACAAGAACUGGAUAGUGUUACACAAAAUAGCAUGGUAAGUGGCAGUACGCAGGGAAGGGGCAAUUUAGAGAUGUAGUGCAAUGGUGGUACUAGAGAAAUAAUGUGAUGCAUAUAUGCAAAUGACUGCAUAAUUAUAUGCAAAUAAGUGUUGGCAUGCUAGUGAAAGUGACCAUGUAUGCAAAUAAUGAAAUGAGACACGAUAGAGUGAUUCAAAAAUGUACAGAAUUAGUACGAUCAGCCACAAUAAACAUUUAUUCUGUACAUCAAGAUUUUCUGGUAUGCAAGAGCUUCACAUGUUAUGAUGCUGUAAGUAGUGUUGGCAUUAGCAGAGCAGCAUAUGUUAAUGUCCACCUUCAGAGUUAGGUGUCCCCAGUGUUGCUCAUCACUCUCCACAUCACAGAUAGGGUUCACCAGUGUCUGACAUGCCACCAGCUGUGUAACUGGGCUUUAUUGACCGCUAAUGUAUGAACAGAGACGCCAUGCAGGAGUUAGUACACAUGUGCUGUCCUUACAUGAAAUUGGGGGAGAGAUGUUCAUAACAGUUAUCCCAGUGGACAUGAAGGUUUGUAUAGCACUAACCGUUCUAGUCACAGGAACCCUUCAGCACCCAACAGAAGCUACAUUAGGAGUUUUGCAGGUUUGAUGAUGUAAUACAUGGAGGAGCAUGUUAGGUUUCAAUGGACAGCGGAGGAGAGAACCACCACUCUGCAAGCAUUCUACAAUAGAGUUCAUUUCUUUGCAAUUCAAAGGACCAUUCACUGCACACACAUUGCUAUCAAGGCCCCACCUGCUGCACAUGCUAACCUGUAUACUAAUCAGGAAGACUUCCAGUUUAAUUGUCCAAUGGUGUGCCAUGCCCAGGGUAUUGUACACAAUGUGUAUCUGCACCAUCCAGGCAGUUCCCAUGGUUCCCACAUCUGGCACACCUGCAACCUAUACCAACAUUUUGUGUAGGGAGAUACUCCACAAGGUCAUGUAGUUGAUAGGUGUGCACACACCUUCACCCACUGAGUCCUGGGUCUGCUGGUCUCAUGAACAUAAACAGUAGGCCACUCGUAAUGGUAUCUGCUAUUGUAUGUUGCAGAUAAUGCAGAAUAUGACCCCCAGCACAUGACAGAGAUUGCACACAAGACACUGUUGUAGACAUGGAACAUUGUGGAUUGUGUUUUCAGACUUCUGAAAGCUUACUUACACUGUUGGCUAUAUCUAGUGACACACUGCAAUAUGCUCUAGAUACCUGCAACAAGAUAUUCAUGGUGUGUCAUGCUGCCCAGUAUGAUGCUCUUACAGUAGUUGCAAUUUGAGGAGACCAUAGGACUGCCAGGCACAUCUGUGACAACAGCAGCAGCAGUGAAGGACUCAUGGGGAAUUACCAACAGAACCAGCUGCAACAGUACCCCAUGUGAGGCAGAGGCAGGAACAAUACAUAAAGUUACUAGCAAAGAGGCCACAUUUGGUCCACAGCUAUGGGCUAUGACAAGAGCAGCACACAAUAAAAGUGGUACAUGCAGUAACACACCCAGGCUAUGUAGUAAAAUGCACUGAGUGGUCACACUGUGCAUCAGACAUUACCAUAUUCACAAAAGCCACUGGGGUGAGCAGGGUGCAGUCAUCAUUUGCACAGGUGGGUUGGGGCACAGUGACAGGAGACAGACAGCAAUGCCAGCAUAGGUGGAAGGGCUAUGGGUAGUGGAUGUUGCAGCCAUGCACACAGUGAAGAAGCCGGAGAAAUAAGGGAUCAUAUUCCACAGUGAAAGGGUGGAGCUUCCAUGAGAAAUGGAAACAUCCUUGCUAAUGGAUGACAUACCAAAUUGUGUUCUUCAAGAACCUUGCUAUGACACCCUGUGUUGUGUUCAGCAGAGGUACAAGGGUGUGAGAUAACACUGAAUUGGUGGUGGAGUCAAAAGUGCAUCAACCACAACCAUGGAAGUGUCCAUGCCUAGUGGCAGAGGGACCUGUGGACACUGAUGCUGCCUCCAGACUGGUAUCUACCAAAUAUAAGUCUGGUAUUUGACCAUGCAUGGUAUAUCCAUCCCCUAGUUCAAUCAAUGCAGACAUUUGCCAGCAUUUCUAUGGAGGUACCAGUGAUUGCUAAAUGGACCACAACUGACCUCACCCAGGCAUAUAUGCUCAAGGUCCCUAUGUACCAUGUUACUUUGCAUGCAUUGCAGGGUGUCGCACAGUUCCUUAAAGGACACAAUAGAAUUUCUAAAAGCAGUUCUUUACCUUGGUCCAAAACAUAAGCAUUACGGCCCACUUUACUAAUCACCUCCCUCUUUGAGAUCCCAUUUAUGACAUCACCAACGGUCCCACAAAUGGCAUCAACAUUUUUUAGAUACUUGCUCUAUUCCAGUCCUGUUAAUAUUCCCUGUAAAACUGAAUGCUCAGCUUUUGGGUUCCCCUGUUUCAGAUAGUACUAUCUACUGAGUUGCUUGUGUUUUUGAGUUGCAGGUAAAUUCAACAAGGUCUACAUAUUUUCUUACAACCUUAUUAUUUAUGCAAUACAUAUUUCUUGUUUUUCCCUUUAAUUAUUGUAUUUCUGCCUGCUUUUUUUUUGCUUAGUAAGCCUGAUCAUCAAAAUUGCAACUCUUCUGAACUUGUUCCUAAACUAUAAUAGCAUUUCUGUUAGUUUGCAGUUAGUGGUUAUAGUGUAGGAAACAACUAAAUAUAGAGUUAAAAUGCUGCUUGUUGUCAUCAUUUGCCAUAAAAAGCUUUCAGAAUUUUUUGAAAAUCUGUAUAAAUAGUGCAGCUUAAGUCAGGUUAGAAAAAUAAAGACAUCUGUGGAUAUUUGUUCUGUUCCAUUAUAGCAGUACUGCUGUUAUGGCAACAACCCCCAUUCCUAAAGUCUUAACUUACAACUGUUGCUCAUUUUUUAUCAUGCCCCUGAUUCUGUUUCUCUGUAUGUUCUCCUACAUAUUUUAAUGUUCUGCUACAUCACUGAGUAUUGCAGUCAGUCCAUGACUGUCAGCAUGACAUUUUCAUUUUUCUCACUUUUAGCAAUGGUUACUGAUGCAAAACUUGUCUUAACAUAAACAUUUGCGGUGAAUUGCUGCAAUAUUUAGCAAUCAUUCCCAUUUACAUGAAUGACAUUGGGAUGUAGUACUAAUAUGUGGACCAUUGUCCUCUACUACACUUCUUAAACUCCUUUGCUCCUUUGAUUGCCCAGCAUAGAUGCACACAGCUGUAUUUGGAGACAGUAAACUACAUUUUUUUGAGACAUCAGCUAGUGCAAUGGGAAAACAGUCCAUGUUCAGUACAGAUGACCACACUGGAGCAUAAAGAAAAAGUAUACGCUUAUGGAAGCGUUAAUUACUGUGAGCUGUUUCUUUACUUUCCUCUAUCAUCAGGGAAUGUAACUAGAUUUGAGAGCCAUCCCAUUUUAACUACAUUCAUUCACACUAGCUACAACCAAAAAAAAAAAAAGGAAACGUCUGUCUGUAAUUAGUGCUUGUCAUACUCAAGUUUUCCGCAAUAGCCACAUUUAUGCCAGUUCAUCUUAAGUUAUUUAUUUAACAAUUUUGAAAAAAACGUAUCUGUCUUUUCUUUCUGCUGUUGCCAUUUCCCUUUUAAAAUGGUUAAUUUUCUUCUAAAAUGAUAAUUAGUCCAGCUGUACUGUCAACACAGAGAUAUAAAUGUGUAUUCUGCAAGAGAUGGACAAUAGACAAUUGGAUUUAUCAGUAAUGGAACACAAUCUGGAACUUUUAAUCCAGCAUAACCAAGAUGUGAAAGUAAUUGUUUCCUGAUGGAGGGUGAAUGGACUCAUCUGAACAUUGGCACAUUAUGACCACUUUGCAAGUGGCAUUCAUGCUAGUAUUAAAAAACAAAUAAGAGCUCGAUGGCUGAACUUAGGAGACCCCCUUCCAGACAAUAGGAGGGGAAAUGUUUUAUUCUCCUCCUUUUUACUGCAUUGCUUUCUGCUAUUUGGUUAUAUAAUGAACUGGACAAAAGGACUGUAACUUUAUAGUGAAUGCGAAGGGAACUGAUUUAUUUGAAAUUUUGAUUGACUGUCAAAAGCAUUUGAGGAAAAAUCCAGACUAAAGGUAUUACUGCUGCUCUUUGCCUGACUGAAUUUGGCAUUCUGCAGUAGUUAGUUGUGGAUGGCUUUCCUCAGUGAAUGUAAUUGAUGUGUUCAGAGAAGAAUAAUAAGAUGAUAGGUGUGUGUGUGUAUUCCCUUUAUGAAGAGGACAUUUGCUUCCAAUGGAGGUGUCUGUAGCAACCUUUAAUAAUGCCUGUGUAAUGUAUGGAGAUUAGUACAGCAAGUUCCAAUUUAAUACAUUUGGAGGAGGAUAAUCUACUGAAUAAAAUGUGUAUAUUUUUACUUCUGUUGCAUAUUAGUAUGGAUUAUUAGGAUGAGGUGAUGAGACAUGGAUGCUACUCUGGAAAUAGCUGCAGAAUUGUUUUGCCUUAUGUUUGGGAGUUAGAUGCAGUAUACAUUCAUAAUGUUCAUUCUACUUGAAAUAUGUGUUGUGCCUCUUUAAAAGGUCUAUUCUGAAGUGUUUUACACAGAUCCCUAUUUUUGUUUGCAUAACUGGUCUCUGUAGUGAUUGCUAACCCAUGUGAAGCAGAGCUGCUCCCUAACUGUAUUUAAGCACAUCUUGGUCCAAUGAAUGGAUAAUAAGAAAUUCAAAAAUGGUCUGGCACCUAUGUCUCUGAUGAUCAGAGGCAGUCAGUAAAUCCCCCCUAUAUAAAUCAAAUUUGUGGGUCACAUUUGGGUUGUACUGCUAAGCUUAUAAGGGCACUAUUUGUCAUUAGUAUAAACCUAUGAACUAACAGGACUAAAAUUAAAAAGGAUCUCUCUCAUGCCAAAAGUUUGUGCAAUCAAAGUGGUCCAGAGAUAGGAAUGGGCUUUUAUUCUGAUAUUUCUUGUAUGGGCAACAAAGUCAGUGAGCUCAAAUAGAUUGGUAUUAAUGCAUGUGAAUGCAUUCAAAAAGUAGGGAAUGAUGUUUAAAGGUGACCAUUCUGUGCAUUCAUUUAUAGUACUUGUUAUAUUUACUAGUACAGUAUAAGAAUAUGCAUUACUAAAUGGAUGAAAUGAGUUUAUGUGCAUCUUCAAGAUAACUUUCUUUGACAAUAAAAAAAAUGGCAAAUGUGAUUAUAGAAAAAAAUAAAUAAACUAAUUCUAGUAAUUCUCAAACACAACGUAGACUCAACCAUAAACAUGAUUUUUAUAUUUAUAAAUUUGAGUGAAAGUGUUUAUGGAUUCAGAGAUAAUUAAUACAGUUCUUCAAGACAUUACUUGAUACUGAUAUUGCUUAUUUGUGUGCUCAUUGUUGCACAAUAUGAAGUUUCACCCAUGCUGGCAUACUAUAACCAGAACAUUUGAAUCCAUGCUUUCAUUUUUAAAUGUUUUUUUGUUCCUUAUGUCUGCCUAGCCAUCAUCCUUCUGUAACCUAUAUUUCUCAUUUGUUUUCCAAUGGUUGUACAUUGCCUCCAGCCCAUUUGUUUCUGUGGUGUGAGAGCCAGUCUCAAGGCUAUCAUCCGAACAUCCAUCAUGGCUUUUAUUUUUAUAUUCCCUACCCAUGUUUCCCUGUCUUUAUAAUGCCUGCAGCAUCCAUUGGGAAAACAUAAAGUGAGCUAAUGGUGGUGCAUGACUCAGCCAAUGGCUUGUCACCAUAGCAUAAAGCAUGGUUGUGUAACCCUGGUUUCCACUGAAGGUUUAUACAUGGAGUUGUGGCCAAUGAAGUGCCCUGUGCUAGUCCCUUCCUCCAAAAUAGGGAAGCUGACACAAGCUACUCAGUCACACCCCCUACUCCCAUCAUCCAGUGCCCAAGCCACUAAUCAAAUUUGGAUCACCUUGGUUUCAGUCAGCUCCCCAUCCCUCUAUACCACUUGUAUUUCAUAUGGCAAAUGGAGACUAAAGCUAAACCAUUUCCACACUUUGUCCUUAAUUUCCAAACACAGUAGAUACCAUAUAGGUUCCACCCUAGAACAUUGACAAAACAUGUGAAGAGGUUUAGAUAGUUGACUGGAACAGACACUGCAAGGUGAAAGAGUGGAAGUCUGAAAGGAGGGUACCUUAUGAUGUGCAAUGUAUCCUUUCUGCAAUGUCAUAAACAGUUGAAUACAUUUUGAAAUUUUUGUAUCACUAGGAUAGACUUGCAUAUAUUCAUGCAGUACGCUGAACUGCUGGGUAAACAAAAACAUUUAUGAAGACGGUUACAAAUACUACAAUGUGUGCCACAGUUGUAUUACUGUAUGUGCUGGUGUUAGAAUGUUAUUGAAUGAGCACAACUGGAUUAAUACUAAAAAUGUGUCUGGAUUAACGCAAAUGUACUUUAAUUCUUGAGAAGACAAAGUCUGAAGUUAUUUAGUGUAUUAUCUUUUCUUGAGUUUUAUGUCUUCUGAUUGAAGACUACAUUUUGUUGUAAAAUAAAAUUUAUGUAUGUGUUAACUCUACUAUAA